rnacentral:rRNA from 1 species
UACGGGGGGGGGCAAGCGUUGUUCGGAAUUACUGGGCGUAAAGGGCUCGUAGGCGGCCAACUAAGUCGGAUGUGAAAUCCCCAGGCUUAACCUGGGAACUGCAUCCGAUACUGGAUGGCUUGAAUCCGGGAGAGGGAUGCAGAAUUCCAGGUGUAGCGGUGAAAUGCGUAGAUAUCUGGAGGAACACCGGUGGCGAAGGCGGUUCUCUGGGCAUGACCUGACGCUAGGAGCGAAAAGCAUGGGGGAG